rnacentral:rRNA from 1 species
GAGGAAGUAAAAGUCGUAACAAGGUUUCCGUAGAGGAACAGCGCAGAUGUAAGCACCUCUGAAGCCUUGAAUUUCCAGUCUACUUGUAGUAGGCGACACUAGCCUGUUGCUGGGAUUUUUCUUUGGGAUAACCAGCAGCCACAGUACUGAUGUAGUGUGGUUCACAGAUCAAACACUAGUGGCCUGAGAAGUUCACGACCCAACUCACCGCCCUUCAGGGAAUUAGCCUACGGGCAACCUCCGGUUCAUGUAGUCAUUGUUCCGAUAAUAGGUCUUCCCGAACCGUGUGCUUGAUUGGUGAAUUGGGCGUGAAUGUGGGUUAAAAUAUGACCGGCCCCAUCUCGAGACAGAUUGGGAGUCAUGUGUUCCGUAGGUGAACCUGCGGAAGGAUCAUU